rnacentral:rRNA from 1 species
CAGUAGCCGCGGGAAUACGAAGGGUGCAAGCGUUACUCGGAAUUACUGGGCGUAAAGCGUGCGUAGGUGGUGGUUUAAGUCCGUUGUGAAAGCCCUGGGCUCAACCUGGGAAUUGCAGUGGAUACUGGACCACUAGAGUGUGGUAGAGGAUAGUGGAAUUUCCGGUGUAGCAGUGAAAUGCGUAGAGAUCGGAAGGAACAUCUGUGGCGAAGGCGACUAUCUGGGCCAACACUGACACUGAGGCACGAAAGCGUGGGGAGCAAACAGGAUUAGAUACCCGCGUAGUCCCUGUCUCUUAUAA